UAUCUCUGUAGAGUCUGCAUAUCAAUAAGCGGAGGAAAAGAAACUAACAAGGAUUCCCUUAGUAACGGCGAGUGAAGCGGGAAGAGCUCAAAUUUGAAAUCUUCAAGGUUCUACCUUGACGAAUUGUAGUUUAAAGAAGUGUUUUCUGUUAGAUGAGUAGCAAAAGUUCCUUGGAAUGGGACAUCAUAGAGGGUGAGAAUCCCGUAUUUGGUUAUUCAUUCUAGCUUUGUGAUACACUUUCAAAGAGUCGGAUUGUUUGGGAAUGCAGUCCAAAAUGGGUGGUAAAUUUCAUCUAAAGCUAAAUAUUGGCGAGAGACCGAUAGCGAACAAGUACCGUGAGGGAAAGAUGAAAAGAACUUUGAAAAGAGAGUUAAACAGUACGUGAAAUUGUCAAAAGGGAAGCGUUUGACACCAGUGUUGUUUUUCCGAUAGAUCAAUUACGAAUGGCUUGAUUUUGUGUUGUAUUGACCUUAUCAGCUUUCUUCACUUUUUUCGAGUCUUUCUUAAUGCACUUUUCGGUUAACAAGUCAACAUCAACUUUCUUUUGUUGUAAAAGAGUAUUCGGAAGGUGGCUUUCUUUUCGGAGAAAGUGUUUAUAGCCCUAUACUUCUACAAUCGGAGAGAUUGAGGUCUGCAGCGUAGAUCCUUCGGGGUUAGAUACACUUGUGCUAAGUUGCAGCUUUUCAUAGACAACUUGUUGACUAUGUUUAGUCAUGCGGCUUACUCGCUUAUGCUAUUUUACCUACGCUUAGGAUGUUGACUGAUAUGUAGUCGUA
rnacentral:rRNA from 1 species